rnacentral:misc_RNA from 1 species
UUGGGGAUCAAGAAGAUUGCCAGUUUCAUUAGCAUAUUUAAGCUUUACAAGGAAAUUACAAAGUAAUCAAACACAGAACAAAAGUAACCAAAAAACCCUAACUAUGAGGAAACUUAAUUUGUCCUCUGAUAUAGCUAGAGUUGAUCGAUCGAUGAUGACUAUUCCCUCUUCAACAAACUGCAGAAUCAAGGGCUUCCUGGUCUCAUGUUAUGUUUUCCAUUACAACUCUUUCAUGCUAGCUAACCACAUGCAAAACCUUUGAAAAGAAAUAUCUCAAUAAAAAUUAAAAAAAAAAAGACUUAAAAUGCAUUGAGCUAGAAAAUAAUUAACCCUCCUCCUCCUCCUCCUCCUCAUGCUUUGUUAACAAUAUAUUAUAUAUAUUUGUAUAUAUAAAUAGCUGUAUGCCUUCUCAUUCUUGAAGACUAAUGAAAUAGUCAAGGCAAUUUCAAUCAAAAGAACUAGACAACAAAGCUGUAGCAAAAUUAUAUUAGUUGUGUUCGUUUCCUUGCCAGUCUGGUCUGCCUAAUGUGAAUUCCAAGCUUGGUUUCUUGCAAUCCACAUUAGUCCCUAAGUAGCGUUUCAGCCGAGUUGAAUUGCAUUCCUGCAGUGCAAUAAUAUGUUUUGCACGUAUGGUUACCCCUUCGCUAUAGUGUGUACCAAAUAAAAAUCUAAGCAAAAUAUGCAAUUGAAGAUGUAGACUCCAAAUUAAAGCUGCUCGUUGUGCUAAUUUUAUGUGCAUAUGCUACAUAUAAAUACCUCAAUUAGGUGUCCAGAUCUUUGCUGAGACUGGAAUGUUGUUUCUCUAUGCCCAUCCAUGUCAUUGGAGUUUGUCUGUGCCCAGGUUUCUCUACUUGAAGAAUUACUCCAGAGUGUGGUAGCAGUAGAAGGGUAGUCCAUUUCUUGUUGCACUAGUGACCCAUCAGAAGGUCUUCUCUGAUCAGUAAAUCGCCGUAGGCUUCCGUCAGUUCCAUUGCCCACUAGGGAUAUGUCUUCUUCUCCAGACCCAUCUGAUUGGCCUGAGGAGGCUGCAGGCUUGUCAGUGGUCUUAACAGUUCUAUACAUCUGUAAAUGGCUUUUAACAUGAGCUAAUGUGAGAUCUUUGACAUCCAUGAGCUCAAGAACUGACUUUGGAGUAGCUCUCUCAUGGCCCCCAAGAAGCUCAACGGCAUGUACAAAUCGGGCAUGAAGAGUGCUAGUCCAUCGCAUUCUCGGUGCUCUCAUGCUCCUCUUUGUGGGAAGUUUAGGCAAGAAUCUUGAUCUAAUCAACCCAUGAGAAGCCUCACCGGAUCCAACUCGAUACUGAUUGUGGUGGUGGUGGUGCAGUUGGUGGGAUUUGAAAGCAUCCAUUGAAAGCCCAUUAAACCUAGUCGUUGGUGCUAGCCGAUUGUAAGCAGGAAGAGAUUGAUUAGGCCCUGAUGAUUUAAGCAUGGGCAUGGGAUCUAAACCUUCUCCACCAAUAUAAUAAGGGGAAGAAGUCUGAGGAGCAACAGAAGGAAAGCACAAAGAGGAAGAGGGAUAGGGCAUUUGGUAGAAGCACAUCUUGGGAUCUUUAUUCUCUCUUGACUGUUCUGAAGGAAGAAAAGGAAAUGAACGGUUGUGAUAGACUGGAAUACCUUUUAUCGGCCUCAACCCAUCCGAUACAUCAAGUCGAGAAACCCCAUGAUUUAUGUUACUUAAGUGAGUAUUAGAAUGGUGUAGAUGAUGCUGAUGAUGGUGACUUUGUUGAUAAGGGUUGUGUGGUGGAUCUUCAGCUCCAGCACCUGUGAAAUUGCUUCUGUUUCUGGUUUCUUCAUCGAGGGCAUUUGCUGGGUGUGCUAGAGAGAGCUCAGUGCUAUAAACUUGAGAAUCACUAGUCCUCAUGGAGCUAAUAGUGUUGGAUUUAUGGAUGCCUUCUUGUCUGGUCAUCAAAAGAUUGAAGCUUGUAUCUGCUUUAAUAUUGUUGAUGGUGUUGGAUACUGAAGAAGGGCAAGUAUUGGGAGGACUUAUGUGUAAAGAAAGAUCAGGAAGCGGCUUUGGUUCAAUGAAAACCCCUUCCAAUGGCAUUUUCACUUGGUUUCUUUAUCAGAUAGUUGCUUUUUCUUCUUGGCUAAUCUAACAUGGGUUCAAGAAAAUGAGAAGAAAGAGUAGUGCAAGUAUAUAGUAGUCAAGUGGGUCUUUUAAUCUUUUUCUCUUCUGCCUGAGAAAGAAUAUAUGUGAGAGGGAGAGAUUUUGUUUUGGUACAAGAAUGGAUAAAAAGCUUUGAAAGAGAAGUUGCUGAUUUAUGCUUUAAAGCCUAAAGGAGGAAGGAGGGGAGGAAGAGCAGGAAGAGAGAGCUUAAAGGGAGGUUAGGCAAAGAGCUAAAGACUCACAAAUCUUCUUCAACAAACAAACAUGCUCAAGAAAGAGAGAGUGAGUAAAGGUGGAUAGAGAUUAGAGAGAGAGGAAAAGAGAAGCAAGUGUGUUGUCAAGCUAAGAAGGAAAAAAUAUAUAUAUAAAUUAAAGAAAAAUAAGUAAAAGAAAGAAGUCCAGAAAGUGCAUGGAAAGGAAAUGGAAGAGAGAGGCUGAUGCACCUCGAGAGUAUAUCUUGGAAAAUGACACUAGGGGAAGAAGAACACAACGUCUCUCUCUCUGGUCAAAACUUUAAAAUAAAUAAUUUAUUAAUUUUAUUUUAAAAAAAAAUGGUGACUUUGGUUUUCCUUCCCCGGAGACGACGGGAUAUAAUGAGAUAGAGAGAAAGACUCCUUCCUGAGGG